AAUAAGCUUAGUUUUACACUGUUCAUAUCCAAUGUUUUACAAUUCAUCUUAUUUAAAAAAAUUACGAUUAGUACUUUUAUUGUUGUUAGAUGAUAAAACAUAAAUAUUAAAUACUUUAUGUGUGAGUAAUUUUUUUAUAAUUUUUUAAAUAAGACGGACGGUCAAACGUUGGACACAGAUACCCACAACUGCACUUAUU
rfam:Oryza rufipogon genomic scaffold, chr09